GGGUCAGCAGGUCGGUCGUGCCAAUGGUAUGCACUGGCCUUGCUGAUUCCUCCCUCUUGAUGAGCUGUAAUGCCAUUAAUUUGGUGUUGCGGGGAAUCAGGACUGUUACUUUGAAAAAAUUAGAGUGUUUAAAACAGGCUUAUGCUUGAAUACAUUAGCAUGGAAUAACGGAAUAGGACU
rnacentral:rRNA from 1 species